rnacentral:tRNA from 1 species
GCAUUGGUAGCUUAGACAAAAGCACCAGUCUUGUAAACUGGCCCACGAAGGUUAAAAUCCUUCCCAACGCU